CCUUACACAUGCAAGUCGAACGGCAGCACGGACUUCGGUCUGGUGGCGAGUGGCGAACGGGUGAGUAAUACAUCGGAACGUGCCUAGUAGUGGGGGAUAACUACUCAAAAGAGUGGCUAAUACCGCAUGAGAUCUACGGAUGAAAGCGGGGGAUCGCAAGACCUUGUGCUACUAGAGCGGCCGAUGGCAGAUUAGGUAGUUGGUGGGAUAAAAGCUUACCAAGCCCACGAUCUGUAGCUGGUCUGAGAGGACGAUCAGCCACACUGGGACUGAGACACGGCCCAGACUCCUACGGGAGGCAGCAGUGGGGAAUUUUGGACAAUGGGCGAAAGCCUGAUCCAGCAAUGCCGCGUGCNGGAUGAAGGCCUUCGGNUUGUAAACUGCUUUUGUACGGAACGAAAAGCUUCGGGUUAAUACCCUGGAGUCAUGACGGUACCGUAAGAAUAANCACCGGCUAACUACGUGCCA
rnacentral:rRNA from 1 species